rnacentral:rRNA from 1 species
UACGUAGGCCCCAAGCGUUAUCCGGAAUUACUGGGCGUAAAGUGCGCGUAGGCGGUUUUGUACGUCGGUCGUUAAAUCUUACAGCUUAACUGUGAGACCGCGAGCGAUACUACAAGAAUUGAGUGUUGCAGGGGCUAGCAGAAUUUCUGGAGUAGGGGUGAAAUCCGUUGAUACCAGAAGGAAUACCAAUGGCGAAGGCAGCUAGCUGGGCAAUAACUGACGCUGAGAGCGCGAAAGCGUGGGGAGCAAACGGG